rnacentral:rRNA from 1 species
GAUGAACGCUGGCGGCGUGCCUAAUACAUGCAAGUCGAGCGAACGGACGAGAAGCUUGCUUCUCUGAUGUUAGCGGCGGACGGGUGAGUAACACGUGGAUAACCUACCUAUAAGACUGGGAUAACUUCGGGAAACCGGAGCUAAUACCGGAUAAUAUUUUGAACCGCAUGGUUCAAAAGUGAAAGACGGUCUUGCUGUCACUUAUAGAUGGAUCCGCGCUGCAUUAGCUAGUUGGUAAGGUAACGGCUUACCAAGGCAACGAUGUAUAGCCGACCUGAGAGGGUGAUCGGCCACACUGGAACUGAGACACGGUCCAGACUCCUACGGGAGGCAGCAGUAGGGAAUCUUCCACAAUGGGCGAAAGCCUGACGGAGCAACGCCGCGUGAGUGAUGAAGGUCUUCGGAUCGUAAAACUCUGUUAUUAGGGAAGAACAUAUGUGUAAGUAACUGUGCACAUCUUGACGGUACCUAAUCAGAAAGCCACGGCUAACUACGUG